rnacentral:rRNA from 1 species
GUCUACGGCCAUACCACGUUGAAAGAACCAGUUCUCGUCCGAUCACUGAAGUUAAGCAACGUCGGGCUCGGUUAGUACUUGGAUGGGUGACCGCCUGGGAACACCGAGUGCUGUAGACU